CCCUCGGUUCCCACCAAUCUCAAUCUGAUCUCUCAAUAAUAAGGAAACGCAUCAAAACAACUCAACUGGACGUAAUGGACCAGCCGAUACCUUUCAGGUUGGUGUAGGUCUGCUAAAGAGAACAACGUAAUAGUAGACUAGAGUGCCCUAUUGCCUGCUGCUCUUUUCUUGUUCUUAUCAUGCAGCUGCUUCUGUUGUUACUCGGGGAAAAACAGGAAUAGGACUACAGAAAGAAACAGGAGUAGGACCCACAGAAAGAAACAGGAGUAGGACCCACAGAAAGAAACAGGAGUAGGACCCACAGAAAGAAACAGGAGUAGGACCCACAGAAAGAAACAGGAGCAAGCCUACGGAAAUGAUAAGGAGUAGGUCUACAGAAAUGAUAAGGAGUAGGUCUACAGAAAUGAUAAGGAGUAGGUCUACAGAAAUGAUAAAGAGUAGGUCUACAGAAAUGAUAAGGAGUAGGUCUACAGAAAUGAUAAAGAGUAGGUCUACAGAAAUGAUAAGGAGUAGGUCUACAGAAAUGAUAAAGAGUAGGUCUACAGAAAUGAUAAAGAGUAGGUCUACAGAAAGGAUAAGGAGUAGGUCUACAGAAAUGAUAAGGAGUAGGUCUACAGAAAUGAGAAGGAGUAGGUCUACAGAAAUGAUAAGGAGUAGGUCUACAGAAAUGAUAAGGAGUAGGUCAACAGAAAGAAACAGGAGCAGGCCUACAGAAAUGAUAAGGAGUAGGUCUACAGAAAUGAUAAGGAUUAGGUCUACAGAAAUGAUAAGGAGUAGGUCUACAGAAAUUAUAAGGAGUAGGUCUACAGAAAUGAUAAGGAGUAGGUCUACAGAAAUGAUAAAGAGUAGGUCUACAGAAAUGAUAAGGAGUAGGUCUACAGAAAGAAACAGGAGUAGGACAUACAGAAAGAAACAGGAGCAGGCCUACAGAAAUGAUAAGGAGUAGGCCUACAGAAAUGAUAAGGAGUAGACCUACAAGUCCCUUGCUCUACGAGAACCCUUUUUGACUUUCACUCUCAACAGACGACUCCUUUUCAACUAGUGCGGGGAGCUAAUACGAAAACCCCUUUUUCUUUUACUUACUUACUUCAAAUUACAAAAGAAACUUUUGACAUUGUCUUCCCCAAGCAUUGGUUUUCCUGGGCCUAUUUGUUUUCCAACCAUUGUAUUCUUCCAUAGAGAGAAAGUUUGACGGCUUCUCCAUUGUUGGUAGGAAAAAAAGAGGCAGUUCGUUUCAGAGGGAGGCAGAACGUCAAUAUUUGUUUUGGCUUGAGUCAUUCAUUCUAACGUAAUUGUAAAGUUCUUACAGUAAUUUCUUAUGUGGAAAAAAAGGAAAUUCCACUCACUCAAAC